rnacentral:rRNA from 1 species
UACAGAGGGGGCAAGCGUUGUUCGGAAUUACUGGGCGUAAAGGGCUCGUAGGCGGCCAACUAAGUCAUACGUGAAAUCCCUCGGCUUAACCGGGGAACUGCGUCUGAUACUGGAUGGCUUGAGUUCGGGAGAGGGAUGCGGAAUUCCAGGUGUAGCGGUGAAAUGCGUAGAUAUCAGGAGGAACACCGGUGGCGAAGGCGGCUACCUGGACAGAAACUGACGCUGAGGCGCGAAAGCUAGGGGAGCAAACAGG